CAAAUGAAUUGACGGGGGCCCGCACAAGCGGAGGAGCAUGUGGUUUAAUUCGAUGGUACGCGAGGAACCUUACCUGGGUUAGAACGUAUGAGCGAUGCAGCUGAAAGGUUGCAGGCCUGCGAAGGAGUUCAUACGAGGUGCUGCAUGGUUGUCGUCAGCUCGUGCCGUGAGGUGUUUGGUUAAGUCCAGCAACGAGCGCAACCCCUACCUUUAGUUGCCAUCAGGUAAAGCUGGGGACACUAGAGGGACUGCCUGCGCAAGCAGUGAGGAAGGUGGGGAUGACGUCAAAU
rnacentral:rRNA from 1 species